rnacentral:lncRNA from 10 species
UAAAAAUAAAAAUAAAAAAUAAAAUUCAAAUUCAUAACCCAAAUUUCCCUAGACCUCUGCUUCCUCUGCAUAUAACAUGUUUGAGUCUCGCCUAAACUCAAAUUGGACCUCCACAGUCUUAGCAAAACUCUUUUAGAAAGUGCAAUAAUAUUUCUUAAUAAUCUGUCCCAGGCUGGAGUGCAGUGGCGAGAUCUCCACUCACUGCAAACUCUGCCUCCCGGG